rnacentral:piRNA from 1 species
UAGACCAGGCUGACCUCAAACACACAGA